CCUACGGGCGGCAGCAGUGGGGAAUAUUGGACAAUGGGGGCAACCCUGAUCCAGCCAUGCCGCGUGUGUGAAGAAGGCCCUCGGGUUGUAAAGCACUUUCAGUGAGGAAGAACGCCUGGUGGUUAAUACCCAUCAGGAAAGACAUCACUCACAGAAGAAGCACCGGCUAACUCCGUGCCAGCAGCCGCGGUAAUACGGAGGGUGCGAGCGUUAAUCGGAAUUACUGGGCGUAAAGCGCGCGUAGGUGGCUUGAUAAGGCGGUUGUGAAAGCCCCGGGCUCAACCUGGGAACGGCAUCCGGAACUGUCAAGCUAGAGUGCAGGAGAGGAAGGUAGAAUUCCCGGUGUAGCGGUGAAAUGCGUAGAGAUCGGGAGGAAUACCAGUGGCGAAGGCGGCCUUCUGGACUGACACUGACACUGAGGUGCGAAAGCGUGGGUAGCAAACAGGAUUAGAUACCCCGGUAGUC
rnacentral:rRNA from 1 species